AGGUAAUUCUGACGACAGUUUCUUAGUAAUCCUUUAUAACGUUCCCAAGCUUCAUAUAGUGACUCCCCGGUUGUUGCUCAAAAUCGGCUAUCACCUUUUUGAGUUU